GACGAACGCUGGCGGCGUGCCUAAUACAUGCAAGUCGAGCGGACAGAAGGGAGCUUGCUCCCGGAAGUUAGCGGCGGACGGGUGAGUAGCACGUGGGCAACCUACCCUGUAGAUCGGGAUAACAUCGAGAAAUCGGUGCUAAUACCGGAUAAUCAUUUGAAGUGCAUGCUUCGAAUGUAAAAGAUGGCUCCGGCUAUCACUACGGGAUGGGCCCGCGGCGCAUUAGCUAGUUGGUAAGGUAAUGGCUUACCAAGGCAACGAUGCGUAGCCGACCUGAGAGGGUGAUCGGCCACACUGGGACUGAGGCACGGCCCAGACUCCUACGGGAGGCAGCAGUAGGGAAUCUUCCGCAAUGGACGAAAGUCUGACGGAGCAACGCCGCGUGAGUGAUGAAGGUUUUCGGAUCGUAAAGCUCUGUUGUUAGGGAAGAACAAGUGCCGUUUGAAUAAGGCGGCACCUUGACGGUACCUAACCAGAAAGCCACGGCUAACUACGUGCCAGCCGCCGCGGUAAGAC
rnacentral:rRNA from 1 species